AGAGUUUGAUUCCCUGCUCAGGACGAACGCUGGCGGCGUGCCUAAUACAUGCAAGUCGAGCGAAUCGAUGGGAGCUUGCUCCCUGAGAUUAGCGGCGGACGGGUGAGUAACACGUGGGCAACCUGCCUAUAAGACUGGGAUAACUUCGGGAAACCGGAGCUAAUACCGGAUACGUUCUUUUCUCGCAUGAGAGAAGAUGGAAAGACGGUUUACGCUGUCACUUAUAGAUGGGCCCGCGGCGCAUUAGCUAGUUGGUGAGGUAAUGGCUCACCAAGGCGACGAUGCGUAGCCGACCUGAGAGGGUGAUCGGCCACACUGGGACUGAGACACGGCCCAGACUCCUACGGGAGGCAGCAGUAGGGAAUCUUCCGCAAUGGACGAAAGUCUGACGGAGCAACGCCGCGUGAACGAAGAAGGCCUUCGGGUCGUAAAGUUCUGUUGUUAGGGAAGAACAAGUACCAGAGUAACUGCUGGUACCUUGACGGUACCUAACCA
rnacentral:rRNA from 2 species